GCAAAGGUAGCAUAAUAAUUUGCCCUUUAAUUGUGGGCUUGCAUGAACGGAUAAACUUUAUUUUACUGUCUCAUUAAUAAAAAUGAAAAUUUUCUUUCAGUUGAAGAGAACUGAAUUUCUCAGAAGGACCAAAAGACCCUAUAGAGCUCUGCAACCUACCCUUGUCUCUCAAGCUAAUUUGCUUCAUUGGGGCGAUGUUAGAGACUUCCUCUAGCUUUUACUCUUACUUAAUAAUUCAUUAUAAAGCCUACUACUAGAAUUCUAAAAAGCUACCUUAGGGAUAACAGGCCAAUUUUUUUUGAUAGUUCACAUUAACAAAAAAGUUUGGCAC
rnacentral:rRNA from 1 species